rnacentral:rRNA from 1 species
GAUGAACGCUGGCGGCGUGCCUAAUACAUGCAAGUCGAGCGAACGGACGAGAAGCUUGCUUCUCUGAUGUUAGCGGCGGGCGGGUGAGUAACACGUGGAUAACCUACCUAUAAGACUGGGAUAACUUCGGGAAACCGGAGCUAAUACCGGAUAAUAUUUUGAACCGCUUGUUUAAAAAGUGAAAGACGGUCUUGCUGUCACUUAUAGAUGGAUCCGCGCUGCAUUAGCUAGUUGGUAAGGUAACGGCUUACCAAGGCAACGAUGCAUAGCACACCUGAGAGGGUGAUCGGUCACACUGUAACUGAGACACGGUCCAGACUCCGACGGGAGGCAGCAGUAGGGAACCUUCCGCAAUGGGCGAAAGCCUGACGGAGCAACGCCGCGUGAGUGAUGAAGGUCUUCGGAUCGUAAAACUCUGUUAUUAGGGAAGAACAUAUGUGUAAGUAACUGUGCACAUCUUGACGGUACCUAAUCAGAAAGCCACGGCUAACUACGUG